rnacentral:rRNA from 1 species
UACAGAGGUCCCAAGCGUUGUUCGGAUUUACUGGGCGUAAAGGGUGCGUAGGUGGUAAUUCAAGUCUGGCGUGAAAUCUCCGAGCUUAACUCGGAAAUGGCGUCAGAAACUGUUUUGCUAGAGGAUUGGAGGGGAGAUUGGAAUGCUUGGUGUAGCAGUGAAAUGCGUAGAUAUCAAGUGGAACACCAGUGGCGAAGGCGAAUCUCUAGACAAUUCCUGACACUGAGGCACGAAAGCUAGGGGAGCAAACGGG